rnacentral:tRNA from 1 species
GGGCCUAUGGCGCAAUGGUAGCGUGUCUGACUCCAGAUCAGACGGUUGGGCGUUCGAAUCGCUCUGGGCUCA